UCCAUUCUGAUCCAAGUCUGAGAACUGCACCACAGUGACAGCGGGACCCUCUGAAGGUAACAGAGCAGACCAGGCCAUCAGCGUGAUGGCCGAGACCUGAAGAGGGAGUGCGAGCCCACCACGGUCUAGGCAUGGAUGUCGGGAGACCACUUAUCCGUCCUUAGGAAAUCUGAAAGGAUUCCACCAGAAAGGGGUCAAACUCAAGACAAGAGUAGAUUUCUGAAGAGAGACCUGCACGGCUUCGCAUUUUCACUGCAAAUGCUCACCCUCCCGACCAACAUUAAGGCAAGAGGAGCACACGCACUUGCAAACUGCUCUUUUCUGAAAUUUCAAAGACCAUGCAGGAUAAGGUGCAGGGAUACCCCACAAAUCCAUGGGAGCACAAUGACAGCCCUUAAACUAAAGUGGAAAUCUUACCAUGACGUACAUACCAAACAGCGGGAUUGCUCCGUACAGAAGAUUAAUCACGUAACGUAUUGUCUAAGCCUUUAGAAUGCCUUGUACUUGUGAUCACUAUUGUUUUGUAUCUUGUAACAAGUCACGACUUAAUCUCGAAGAUAAACUGAGUCUCCUGUUCGAUGGAAAAGAAGAUGGCAGACGAUUUCGGCGAA